UGGGGGAUAUUGCACAAUGGGCGAAAGCCUGAUGCAGCGACGCCGCGUGGGGGAUGAAGGCCUUCGGGUUGUAAACUUCUUUUGCUCUGAACAAGGCAUGCUAAUGGGUGUGUUGAGUGUAGGGGUUGAUUAGCGCCGGCUAACUACGUGCCAGCAGCCGCGGUAAUACGUCGGGCGCGAGCGGUGUCCGGAAUUAUUGGGCGUAAAGGGCUUGUAGGUGGCUGGUUGCGUCUGUCGUGAAAGCUCAUGGCUUAACGGUGGGUUUGCGGUGGGUACGGGCUGGCUUGAGUGCAGUAGGGGAGGCUGGAAUUCCUGGUGUAGCGGUGGAAUGCGCAGAUAUCAGGAGGAAUACCGGUGGCGAAGGCGGGUCUCUGGGCUGUUACUGACACUGAGGAGCGAAAGCAUGGGGAGCGAACAGG
rnacentral:rRNA from 1 species